GAAUUGGAGAUAACCACGACCUGACUUUAUCUGGCUCGGUCUUUUCGUACGUCGCUCUCCUGCUACCGUGUUACCCAAUACUCCCUCCGUUCGGGAAAAGUUGUUCAGAGCUUAGUUCAUUUCAAAUUUUACAAAAAAAAGCUUUCGGUUUUAAAUCUAGUGCUAAUCCCCCCCUCACCUCUGCUUCUUCCUCCUUCGACCAAGCGGCCGUCGUAGCCACCGCCAGCAGCCGCCGUAGAAAGAGCGGGCGACCACCUGCGCCGACGCCCACCUGCGCCGUAGCCCACCUGCGGUUGCUCAGCCGCUACGAACGUGGGCCGUCCGCACGGAGGCGAGCUGCCCCGCCGCUGCGAACGUGGGCCGUCCGCACGGAGGCGAGCUGCCCCGCCGCCCAGCUGAGGCUGCUCCUCCAAGGCGACCACCUCGACGGGCGCCUCCUCCUCGUGGCCCUGCUCGCGUCCCUGGCCCUGCUCGCCGGUUCCUCACCCCCGCGGCAACCCCAGCCGCCGCUGCCGACCCCGGUCGCCGCUCCCCUCUUGAAGAAUUCGGUAGGCAGGGCAAGGCGGAUCUUCCCCGGCGGAGAGAGGACCACGCAAACCUGCUGAUGCCACAGCUGAUUGCUUCUGCUGAUUGCUUCUGCUGAUUGCCUCUGGUGAUUGCUUCUGCCCUCGACUGCUGAUUGCUUCUGCUGAUUGCCUCUGCCCUCGAGCACCUCGACUGCUGAUUGCCUCUGCUGCUGCUGUUGGCUGCAGGUACAGUGCCAAUUGCAGUAUCAAUUUCAUUUUGUCAAAGAAGUACUCCAUCAGCGUCAAUUGCAGUGUUAAUUGGAGUAUUAAAAUUCUCAAUUGCAAUGCUGAUCUACUGCUGAUGUUAUCUGAAAUUUACAGUGUUUUGUGUCUGUCAAUCAUACUCCAUUCAGUGUCCUGUGUCAGAAAUUUGGUGAAGUGAAGAAAAUCAGGACUAAAUGUUGUCAUCGCCUCCUCUGUUGAUUUGAAGCACCAGUAGUAUGGCAAGAAGAGUUGGCAAUUGAAGCAGCAGCGCCAUGAAUUGAAGAAGCAGCAGCGCCACGAAUUGAAGAAGCAGCAGCAACACAUCAAUAGCAACAGUAGGCAAUUCUGGAGACAAGAGGGACAACAUAUCAGUUGAAAUAAUAGCAGCAGAUCAACAGAAAUAGCAGCAGCUUGCCGGUGCCCUACUAAAUACAGCAACGCAGAGAGCAUCAACCAAAAUGAACUUUAGUCCAUGAAAGUGCAGAGUUUAAGCUCUAUUCAGCAAAUGAAAACAGCAAUACAGACUAACUCUCUUGCUCUCUUGCUCGAUGGUCUCGACGAGUAAUUUAGAUUACAGAAUAAGAAUAAGAACAAGGGCUUGAGGAUGUUCCUAUGAA